AACCUACGGAAAUGAUCCUUUAUGCGGGCUUGAAGUUGACUUUGUUUUUGCAGAACUCACAUGCGCAUGGUUGUCAGUGAAUACCCAAAAUGUGUAAUAGCUCAAUAUGACAAGGGAAUUGCAAUAUUGCCAACAGAUGAAAGCAUGGGCGAAAGCACAAAAUAUUAACAGUGCAAAGGAUCAAACAUUGAAUUCUUUAUCUAUAAUACUCUUGGUUGCUUUCCAUUUGCAGACUCGAAAUCCUCCCAUACUGCCUCCAUUUUCCGCGUUAGUCAGAGAUGGUAAUGAGUCGGUAGCAGUGGAGAGGUCUCUGCGUAGUCUCUGCCUAAGUUUUCGUACUAUGGAAUAAGCAACAAAGAAUCAGUGCCUGAGCUCUUUGUUUCUCUAUUAAACAAGGUUGGAUUUUGUAUUCUCCAUUGGUGUAAAAUGGUUCAUGUACCAUGCGGGCUGCGAUUUUUACAUAUUAUGUUAUAACAGAGACGGAGCCAAAAUUUAAAGCUUGGGGGUUCUGAAUCUUAAAAUAGAAUAACGACUUCAAGCUAAUAUAUAAUAACCGUCAAACUUACAAACGAGUAUAUAUAUAUAUACUAGAGGAGCAUAGCCCGUGUCAGCACGGCAACGUCUAUUAUAUUUUGAGCAUUAUAAAGUUACGAGUCUGACGCCAAUCAUAAGUUAGAUUAGAAGUAUAUACGUUAAUAGGGAUCCUAUUGCGCUUAUAAAUGCUACAACUAAACACGACUGUUAAUGACCAAAAAGAAUUCGUGCUACAGUUAAACACGACUAAGCAAUGGCCACUAGGGGUGGGCAUUCGGUAUUCGACUCGAUAUUUUCAAAGUUCGGGUUCGAUAAUUCGAUAAUCGAUAUUUGAACAUAGAUACCACAUAAUAAUCGAUAUUUGAACAUAGAUACCACAUACCAUACUUAUAAAUAUUGAUUUGAUAGUUCGAUAAUCGAUAAAUUAAACUUCGAUUCGGUACGGUAUUUGGUAAUAUCAUAUUAAAGUUGGAGAUGCGCAAAUGUAUGUUUAACCUUCAAAAAGUAUCUUUAAUAAAAACCUUUAGUAUUCUUUUUGUUGUUUUUUAUGAAUAUAUUAACAAGGUCCAAGAGAUUCCUUGAGAUGAUUAGAACUAUUGUCUAUUGGAUUGGGUUAUAUAUAUAUAUAUAUAUUGAAAAUUCGAUAAAUACCGAAUAUCAAACAGUAAUAAAGUUCAUCCUUAUCUCCACUCUCAAUAGGAGUUCAGGGAUCAAGCCUGUACUUUGAUCGAUUCGAUUCUAUUUAUAUGUUUAGGCUUUUUAGCUUCAUGUGUCAAAUCAAAUGGGCUUGAGAGACAGUCUUGUACUCUUUAGUUAGCAGCACGUACCAGAGCCUACCACAAUUGACUUGGCCUGUGUGCAUAGGGAUUAUCCAGAAAAGACAUCAAAUCGUGCUACCACAAUUGACUUGGCCUGUGUGCAUAGGGAGUAUGUCGCCGACAAAGAAGAGCUCUAUUUCAAUUGUCUUUUUAAAAUUUCAUCUUUUUCUUGAACUUAACAGAUUUAACAGAAUGGCUGCUUCAUUCUUGCACAUGAUUAUAGUCCGACCAACCCUCAAAGAGCAUAGAUUAGAUCAGCGAGUCUGCUCUGCAACAAAGCUCAAAUGGCAAUACUUGCAAUCACUCACUCGUGCACUAUUCCUCUUCCGCAGUAAUGACUUCACGAAUGUGGAAUACAAUUUAGCAAGAGAAAGGUUGUGAGAUGGUCCACUGAAUAGUGUCUCAAUACCAUUUUCAUGAUACUGAUGAUAUGACGAUAGAUAAGAGAUUCUUUUCCCUCUUGAGCUAAAAAAGGGUAGGUCAUAACCAAUUCCUACGAAUACAGUUUCAUCAGUCAUGAGUAUCAUUUAAACUAAGGGUGGGCGGUCGAUCGAUUCGAUCUGAUUGUUUAAUAUCGGUUCGGUUUAUCGAUUUUUGAA